CUCUGAUUUCAUGUUCUCUUUCUUUCCCCUUCUUCAAUUUCACGUCAAUUUCGUCAAUUUCACGCUCAAUUCCUUUCCUGUUUGUUGAAUCAAUUUCUUCGAUUUCAUGCUCAAUUUCUUUCUCAAUUUCACGUCUUCUUCUUCGAUUCCAAAACUCUCAUCUUUCUUCUUUGAUUGUUAGACAAAUUCAUCUUCUAAGGUUUCUUUGACAUUCUAUUUUUCUGCAUCAAUGGCGGCUUCAUCUCUCAAAAUUGAA
rnacentral:lncRNA from 1 species